AUGUCUGGGAAACUGCCUGAUGGAGGGGGAUAACUACUGGAAACGGUAGCUAAUACCGCAUAACGUCUACGGACCAAAGUGGGGGACCUUCGGGCCUCAUGCCAUCAGAUGUGCCCAGAUGGGAUUAGCUAGUAGGUGGGGUAACGGCUCACCUAGGCGACGAUCCCUAGCUGGUCUGAGAGGAUGACCAGCCACACUGGAACUGAGACACGGUCCAGACUCCUACGGGAGGCAGCAGUGGGGAAUAUUGCACAAUGGGCGCAAGCCUGAUGCAGCCAUGCCGCGUGUAUGAAGAAGGCCUUCGGGUUGUAAAGUACUUUCAGCGGGGAGGAAGGUGUUGUGGUUAAUAACCGCAGCGAUUGACGUUACCCGCAGAAGAAGCACCGGCUAACUCCGUGCCAGCUGCCGCGGGAAUACGGAGGGUGCAAGCGUUAAUCGGAAUUACUGGGCGUAAAGCGCACGCAGGCGGUCUGUUAAGUCAGAUGUGAAAUCCCCGGGCUCAACCUGGGAACUGCAUUUGAAACUGGCAGGCUUGAGUCUCGUAGAGGGGGGUAGAAUUCCAGGUGUAGCGGUGAAAUGGGUAGAGAUCUGGAGGAAUACCGGUGGCGAAGGCGGCCCCCUGGACGAAGACUGACGCUCAGGUGCGAAAGCGUGGGGAGCAAAC
rnacentral:rRNA from 1 species